CUGCUGCCUUCCGUAGGAGUUUGGGCCGUGUCUCAGUCCCAAUGUGGCCGUUCACCCUCUCAGGCCGGCUACUGAUCGUCGCUUUGGUAGGCCGUUACCCUGCCAACUGGCUAAUCAGACGCGGGUCCAUCUCACACCGAUAAAUCUUUUCCGUCAGUGCCAUGCGGCACCGGCGGGUUAUGCGGUAUUAGCGGUCGUUUCCAACUGUUAUCCCCCUGUGUGAGGCAGGUUACCCACGCGUUACUCACCCGUCCGCCACUAAG
rnacentral:rRNA from 1 species